rnacentral:rRNA from 1 species
UACAGAGGUCCCAAGCGUUACUGAGAAUCACUGGGUUUAAAGGGUGCGUAGGUGGUCCGUUAAGUCAGUUGUGAAAUCCCCGGGCUCAACCCGGGAACUGCUUCUGAUACUGGCGGACUUGAGGCCAGUAGGGGUCACUAGAACUGACGGUGGAGCGGUGAAAUGCGUAGAUAUCGUCAGGAAUGCCGGUGGUGAAGACGGGUGACUGGGCUGGUUCUGACACUGAGGUGCGAGAGCGUGGGGAGCGAACCGG